CGGCCGUCGCUGUGGGUUUGGGUGGGUGAGGGAGCGGGCUCGGGUGGCUGGAGGUGGCCGCAGCGGGCGGUAAAGCCCCCUGGAGGUAGGUUUUCACGUAGAGGUGGCUUUGGGGAACAGAAGAGGCGGGAUGAAUUUCCUGGGUAGAAAGCAGCGAGUGACAGCAGUAGGGUGAUGGGGAUGCUCCUGUUUUGACUCAUCAAGUGGCCCAAAGUGAUUGUUGCUGACUGCUGGGUGUGCCACACAGAGUGCGUCCCUCUCAGGGGAGGGGCCCAGCAGGGUUCUUCUGCCUGGAAAGAGGCAAAAUGCAUCUCUACAAAGCCCGGAGAUGCACCUCAAGUCAAAGAUGGUGUGUUUUGCUCUGGCCUCACUGUCUGGUUCUCUCUUUUAGCCCUCCUGCAAUAUGGUGGAGUGCAUGUCUAUAGUGGGAGGUUCUCCACAAAACACAAGAGAUGUGGAAGCCUGUUCUUACUCCAUGUGUUCCAGGUGCAACCGUUGUGUCCUCAUCCAUAAGAGCUGUGCUAUGUCUUGCCAUGGGCAGGAGUGCUGGCUGUGUUUUCUCCCCACCCUGUAAUAAUAAUCCAUUUUGAAAGCGCUAGUGUAAGGGGAAAGUGUUCUGUAAAUUGAGCACCGAGUAAAAGGAACAUGUAUGGGGUAACAGGCCAGCUGUUGAGGAACGUGCUGAAGGGCAUCUUGAAAUGCUUGCGUUUAGCACUCCAAACAAAGGACUGUCUUUUAACAUCCACUGUGGGGAAUGAGAGAAAUGUGUCCGGGGUCUGGUUGCCAUGGAAUUUGAUAAGUCUUGAGAACUGGGUAUAUAACCUUUAUGGAGACUGGCAGAAGAUUUCAGAGAGAAAUGCCACUUUUCCUGUAAUGCUCCAUGGGCACAUGAGAUCAUUUCUGAGGGGAAAUACUUGAACUCAGCAACUCUGUUGAACUCAAAAUUGCCCAGAUUGUUGAAAGGUUGAUUUCCUUUCAGAGAAAUUAAGCUAAAUGCAUGUUCCUGCUUCUUCCUUCUAAACACAUCACCAGCCUUGCUUCAUGCAACCUACAUUGACUUCUGUAAUACUUGAACAUAUACUUCUUCACUGAAUAAGGACUUUCUCUUGAGUGGAGAUCUCAAGCAGUGCUGAUUUAUUACUUCAGUAAGGUUUUUGGUGUUACGAUUGUCUUUGCCUUUUACCUGUGAGCAAAUGGAGAUUGGUAAAAGUUGACUCCUUAUAUCUAAAGAGGCAGCAAAGUUUGUGGCAGGAAUCACUCUACAGCCCCUGAGUGAACACAUUUUGUAAGAAUAGGUCAUACCUUCCCUUGCCCUUGGUCUCUUCUUCCCCAGUGGUCCCCAGUUCCUCUACAGAUACAGCAUUGGAAGCGUGCCAGUCAUGCGAUGGCAGCACACAGGCAUAUUGGGGGACAUCAUCUGCAUUUUGGUUGAGUGGCAGGUAUACUUCCAGUAACAGCUAUUGGGAAAAGACAGGGUGCAAAGGCUUUUUAAAUAUUUCUAUUGGAGCUGUAUUGCCUCCCCUGGCUCAAACUAAGCACAUCUGUCCAUAGAAGCAAGGAUGCUAUUUUCAAUUUUGAGCUCUGGCACUAAUUCAGGGCUGGUAAUUCGCGUUGCCGUCUAUACCUCAGCUUCUCUAUCUGUAUGAGGGAAACGCUAAUAACCCUGACUCACAGCCAGAGAUUUUGUAAAGACUAGUUGGCAUUUUUGGCACGUUAAGAACUAUUCUUUCCUAAAAAUGAAAAUAAUUUGUUAUAGUAGAAGUGAAAUACAAUCCUUGUAUCUUUCAUGCCUUAAAAUAUAUUCUCAAACCUUGGUUGAAGGAAACACAGCCGAUAAUCAUCAUCAGGCCUCAAAAUAAGGCUUGCCAGGGGAUUUUUGCUUUGUUUACAUUAGUUAGUUAUUAGUCAGUGUCCUUCCCUUCUGGCCACCACUUCACAUAAUUUGUCAGGAGCAGGGGAUCAGUAUUUUAAGGUAAUAAAAUGGCAUUACACUUUGUUUAUCUGGGAAUAAAUAGAGCGUGGCUGUGGCGAGUGAGUCCCUGCAGCAGAGACUGAACGUAACUGAGGUGACGGCAGAGGGCAGAGGCUUCGCUGCCUCUUCUGCACAGCUGAUGUCUCCUUGUCCACAAAUGUUGUUACCUGUCCUGCAGCCUGUGUAAUGGACAUCUCAGCAACGCUGCCUCUAAUUUCUCCUAGCAGGUUAUUGUGGCUGCGACGAUAAGUGAACAGAAGACCAUUACAUUUUUGUUUAAUAACAAUAUAAAGCUUUAAUUUACCUAUGCUCUGUAGAGGAAGCCUGCGCAGGCACUCUGUGUGAAUCAGACCUGAGAGUGGUUUAAGUGGAUUUCCUGUUAAUGAAAGAAUAAAUAACAUUGAUAAAUGUUAUUUUAAUUUCUUUGAAUAGAGUUUUUUCAUAAGAUACAAAAUAUUUGAUAAAAAUGUUCAAGUGGUGUCGAGAGGUACUUGAAAAGUAAUUUUUUUCCUCUGCUUUUCGGGGUGAAUUUGGAGUUUUGUCUCUAUUGGAGGGGAUCCAAAACCUGUUUCUGUAAACAUGGAUAGGGAGUGAUAGUGUUGACUUUCUGUUUUGUAAUGUUGUGUACAUUUUUAUUAAUAUUUCAUUUUUUAAUUUCUGCCAAUCUUUUGCUAUUAUGCUGUCAUUUUGUUUUUUAAAAAGUCUUCAAAAGCACCUGACUGUUUUUUAAUCAGUGUUUUUAUGAACUUGCAUAGGAGCAAUUAAAGCCCUUACCAGAGAUUUCUAGUUCUCAACAGCAAUUUUAGGCCACUAGUUCCAUAAUUUAGUUAACAUACAUUUUCUUAGUGUGAAUUGUAACCCUUCAUGUAACACUAAAUGUUGCGUAGACCAUGAGCAGGGGUUGUGCUGUCUUUAUGGAUCUUGGCCUAACUCUCUGUAAUCUAAGCCUCUCUGUGCCACUAACUUCCUUUUUUGUAACUGUUUCGGAGGGGGUGCCCUUUUCUGUAUUCCUGCAAGAGUUCAGUGAAAUGCCACAUGUGACAAAUCACCCUCCUUCUGAAUUUAUCUCCCAGAGUUUAUUUAGCUCUGAAGCUAUUAUCAGAAACCAUUGAAUUUCCUUCAGUGCUUUUUUUUUUUUUUUACAUGUUCAUUCUAUUUAAUUCUGUGUGUGUUUGGAAUGCUUCUUUCAAAGGCACCUGUAGUUAGUCUAAACUGAUUUUCAGAACUUUGCAAAUGAGUCACCCAGAUCCUCUAUAUGACACAGGAUGGCUUGCAACAGGCUCUGAGGGCUGUUCUCCUGAAAGCUCUAUUACUAUAUAUCACAGAUUCCUUUGCACCUGUAGGAGAUUUCCUGCUGAUUGAUGUUUUUUUCAUCCAGGCCUGACUCUGCUGGUGGCCGUUAGGAGAGGAGGUGAGGAGCCCAAGGGCAAGAGGUGAGGUUUGUGGCUGCCCGGCUGUGCUCCUGAGCUGAACCCCACUGCCGAGAGGAGUGGGCUGGGAAGGGAUGUCAUGGUGGAUGCUGGUUAACUCUGCUAUCCUUGGCCUGACAGUAUAUGUCCCCUUGCUUAGAGGAAACUGGCACAUUAGGAUGCCAAACAAGGACCAGAAAACAAUGCACAGGAAUUAUACUGAAGAGAAUCCCAGCCAAAUUACGACAAAUCCAGCUCUAUCUUCAAAGAAUUUUACAGUGCAGUUCUUCACUAUUACCCUGGUCUGCUGAAAACUGCUAAUCUGGCUGGGCUUUUUUGGUGGCCUACGUCUCCAUUGGUGCACCUUGACUGCCCCGCUGAGAAGCUUUGGUGAGGACUUAGACCACCACUACAGAGCACCAUGGCAGAUCUUUUUUUUUCCUUUAAAUGAAAAGUAUGAAGUUUCCACAGGAAGCAGGAACAUUCUCCAAAAUUGUAAUUAUGUCAAAGAGAACACAUUUGGAUUAAAAUUCCUUAGGAGGUGGAUCUUUCACACAAGUGUUGGAUAACUUGACAUGACUGUCAGAUUAGAACCAGCAUUGGUACUGCAGCCAUUUCAGAAGUGACACAGUGUGGAAAAAACGGUACCUGGGACUGUGUUCAUCUUACACCCAUGGCAUACAGGGUGCGAAGUGGGUUUGUCACAAUGGGACACCAGCCUUCCUUUUCCCUUGACCAACCACCUCAUGAGAACCAAUGCUAAGCCAAUGAAGUUUUGGGCAUGCUGCUUGUUUUGGCUGGGACAGAUCUGAUCUCCAGAACUGUGUGCAGAGCUGGGAAGGAGUAAGGUGAAAACAGAGGAAUGUUCCCAGACCAAUCUUUGUAGAAG